rnacentral:rRNA from 1 species
AUCGAACGCUGGCGGCAGGCCUAACACAUGCAAGUCGAACGGUAGCACAGAGAGCUUGCUCUCGGGUGACGAGGUGCGGACGGGUGAGUAACGUCUGGGAAACUGCCCGAUGGAGGGGGAUAACUACUGGAAACGGUAGCUAAUACCGCAUAACGUCGCAAGACCAAAGUGGGGGACCUUCGGGCCUCACACCAUCGGAUGUGCCCAGAUGGGAUUAGCUAGUAGGUGGGGUAAUGGCUCACCUAGGCGCCGAUCCCUAGCUGGUCUGAGAGGAUGACCAGCCACACUGGAACUGAGACACGGUCCAGACUCCUACGGGAGGCAGCAGUGGGGAAUAUUGCACAAUGGGCGCAAGCCUGAUGCAGCCAUGCCGCGUGUAUGAAGAAGGCCUUCGGGUUGUGAAGUACUUUCAGCGGGGAGGAAGGCGGUGGAGUUAAUAACUUCACCGAUUGACGUUACCCGCAGAAGAAGCACCGGCUAACUCCGUGCCAGCCGCCGCGGUAA